UACGAAGGGGGCUAGCGUUGUUCGGAAUUACUGGGCGUAAAGCGUGCGCAGGCGGUUUUGUAAGCCAGAUGUGAAAUCCCCGGGCUCAACCUGGGAAUGGCAUUUGGGACUGCAAGGCUGGAGUGUGGCAGAGGAGACUGGAAUUCCUGGUGUAGCAGUGAAAUGCGUAGAUAUCAGGAGGAACACCUGUGGUGUAGACGGCUUUCUGGACCAUAGCUGACGCUGAGACACGAAAGCGUGGGUAGCAAACAGG
rnacentral:rRNA from 1 species